rnacentral:rRNA from 1 species
GAUGAACGCUGGCGGCGUGCCUAAUACAUGCAAGUCGAGCGAACAGACGAGGAGCUUGCUCCUCUGACGUUAGCGGCGGACGGGUGAGUAACACGUGGAUAACCUACCUAUAAGACUGGGAUAACUUCGGGAAACCGGAGCUAAUACCGGAUAAUAUAUUGAACCGCAUGGUUCAAUAGUGAAAGACGGUUUUGCUGUCACUUAUAGAUGGAUCCGCGCCGCAUUAGCUAGUUGGUAAGGUAACGGCUUACCAAGGCAACGAUGCGUAGCCGACCUGAGAGGGUGAUCGGCAACAGUAGGACUGAGACACGGUCCAAAGUCCUAAGGGAGGCAGCAGGAGGGAAUAUGCAGGAAUGGACGCAAGUCUGACGGAGCUACGCCGCGUGAGUGAAAAAGGUCUUCGGAUCGUAAAACUCUGUUAUUAGAGAAGAACAGCACACAGCGUAACUCUGCGGGGCGUGACGGUAGAUAAUCAGAAAGACACGGCUAACUACGUG